GGCCUCAUAGCUCAGAAGGCUAGAGCGUUGGCUGAAAUGAAGGCUUUCCCUUGCUGACGUGGGUUUGAACCCCACCAAGGCCA
rnacentral:tRNA from 1 species